rnacentral:rRNA from 1 species
UACGGGGGGGGCAAGCGUUGUUCGGAAUUACUGGGCGUAAAGGGCUCGUAGGUGGCCAACUAAGUCAGACGUGAAAUCCCUCGGCUUAACCGGGGAACUGCGUCUGAUACUGGAUGGCUUGAGUUUGGGAGAGGGACGCGGAAUUCCAGGUGUAGCGGUGAAAUGCGUAGAUAUCAGGAGGAACACCGGUGGCGAAGGCGGGUCUCUGGGCCGUAACUGACGCUGAGGAGCGAAAGCGUGGGGAGCGAACAGG